rnacentral:rRNA from 1 species
UACGUAGGGUGCAAGCGUUGUCCGGAAUUAUUGGGCGUAAAGAGCUCGUAGGCGGUUUGUCGCGUCUGCUGUGAAAUCUGGGGGCUCAACCCCCAGCCUGCAGUGGGUACGAGCAGACUAGAGUGCGGUAGGGGAGAGUGGAAUUCCUGGUGUAGCGGUGAAAUGCGCAGAUAUCAGGAGGAACACCGGUGGCGAAGGCGGGUCUCUGGGCAACAACUGACGCUGAGGAGCGAAAGCGUGGGGAGCGAACAGG